rnacentral:misc_RNA from 1 species
GCUAGAGAAAAUCGUCAAACUUACGCAGAUAGAAACCGGGAUGGAAGUGGUCAAUAAUCUCAAGGCAAAUUCGGUGUCAAAUAUGUAUGGACGUCGCAGGUUUUUCUUACCCUGUUUUACUAUCUGACCCACGUUCAUCUGAGACGCAUACAAAAGGGGCCACAGACUGCACCCGCCUUGAGGUAAAACAACAACCAACAUGGUUGCUUCAGGAGAGCUAGGAUGCCAGAAGGCGAUCGCCACAGCACUAAACCAAAAUCCCGUAGCAGAUCUGGCCAGUAAGAUCAGCAGAAUUUCCUGUAGUUGCAAAACCUUUGGCUGAAAAGACACCCCGACGAAAAACAGAAUUAAGGGAGUGGUGCAAGCUGACAGCCGUUGUAGGACCUCCAGUAAGGGAGCUGGC